CAAGAUGUUCAUCGGGGGACUCAGUUGGCAGACUACGCAGGAAGGGCUGCGCGAAUACUUCGGCCAGUUCGGGGAGGUGAAGGAGUGUCUGGUGAUGCGGGAUCCCCUGACCAAGAGAUCCAGGGGUUUCGGCUUCGUCACUUUCAUGGACCAGGCGGGGGUGGAUAAAGUGCUGGCGCAAUCGCGGCACGAGCUCGACUCCAAAACAAUUGAUCCCAAGGUGGCCUUUCCUCGACGAGCACAGCCCAAGAUGGUGACUCGAACGAAGAAGAUCUUUGUGGGGGGGCUAUCAGUGAACACCACGGUGGAAGACGUGAAGCAAUAUUUUGAGCAGUUUGGGAAGGUGGAUGACGCCAUGCUGAUGUUCGACAAAACCACCAACCGGCACAGAGGGUUCGGGUUUGUCACGUUUGAGAGCGAGGACAUUGUGGAGAAAGUGUGUGAAAUCCACUUCCAUGAAAUCAACAACAAAAUGGUGGAAUGUAAAAAAGCCCAGCCAAAAGAGGUGAUGUCACCAACAGGCUCUGCCCGCGGGAGGUCUCGAGUCAUGCCCUAUGGAAUGGACGCCUUCAUGCUGGGCAUCGGCAUGCUGGGUUACCCUGGUUUCCAGGCCACGACCUACGCCAGCCGGAGUUACACAGGCCUCGCCCCUGGCUACACCUACCAGUUCCCCGAAUUCCGUGUAGAGCGGACCCCUCUCCCGAGCGCCCCAGUCCUCCCCGAGCUUACAGCCAUUCCUCUCACUGCUUACGGACCCAUGGCGGCGGCGGCGGCGGCGGCAGCUGUGGUCCGAGGGACAGGCUCUCACCCCUGGACGAUGGCUCCCCCUCCAGGUUCGACUCCCAGCCGCACAGGGGGCUUCCUGGGUACCACCAGCCCCGGCCCCAUGGCUGAGCUCUAUGGGGCAGCCAACCAGGACUCAGGGGUCAGCAGUUACAUCAGUGCUGCCAGCCCCGCCCCCAGCACCGGCUUCGGCCACAGUCUUGGGGGCCCCUUGAUUGCCACAGCUUUCACCAAUGGGUACCACUGAAGCAGGAGACAGGUGGCAGCAGGCGCCCAAACAAGUACAGUUACUGAGCACCAUGCCUGGAAGAGGCAUGUGUAAGACAGAAGCCCUCUCUCAUGCUGCAAAAUCAAGGGACAGUGGAACAACUCAUGCCUGCAGCUGACUGAGGACCAGCGUGAGCCAGUGAGGGGGGCGGGACACCUCAGCCGCAGCCGCGCCCCCUCCCCACCGCGCCUCGGGACUGCUACUGCCUGCCCCCCACUCCCCGGGCCCUGGCCCUGCCCUGCUGCCCCUGGACAUCGUCUGGCUCCCUACUAACCUCCCUGUCUUCUGCCCCUGGCCCCUCCCCACCCACCUGUCCCGCCCGCUUUUAUUUAUUUUGGAUUAGCCGGUUUUCCCCACACCCACCUCUUCUCUUCUCCUCCUGGGUCUGCGCCCCUCCCACCCUGCCGUACCCCAUAGAACUCCCCCCCAGAAGGCUUUUGUAUUUGUGCAUAGCUAGAGUGAGGGCAGAGGGGGCCUGCUACAGGCCACAGCCCCAAAUCUUGUUUGUUUUUUUUUUAUUCUGAUUUUCCUUCCUUUUCUUUCCUUUUUUUUUUUUUUAAAGAAACCGUUUCUUUUUUUUAAAAACUAUUUCUAGGUUUGUGAAUGUGAAGCCCCAGGCCGCAGGGGGCAAGGGGCCAGGUGCCCCCCACCAGCUGAGAACAAACUGUCUGUGGGUGUGGGCCCCUGGCCACCUCCCUCCAGCCCUGGAGAGGAGGACAGGGCUGUGUAGGCCAGGCCGAGCCCCUGGAAGCAUCCUGUCCUGUAUCAUAUGUAAAUACUGUGAGGUGACGCCCCCACCCUCUCUAAGGCCCCUUGGGGGUGAGGGCAUCGCUUUGCCCCUCUCGGCAAAGGUCUCCCCCCAUGUUUCUGCCCCCUCCUCAGACACCGUUACUGUAAGCUUGCAGGCCUCAACUGUGGCCAAGGCAGGCCCGCUCUCUCAGGCCCUAGGGGUCAAGGCCUUGGACCUGCUCACCCCGAAAACCCAGUGUGGGGUAUGGGGCGAAGGAAGAGUAGGGCUCGCCCUGACCGCUGCUGGAAAGGAAUUAACUCUCCAAAGGUCUCCCCCUGCCCCCAACCUAGGUUGGGCCUUCAUGGUUUCUGCUCUGAGUCCCCUAUCCCAUGAGCAGGCAUCAGGGGCCCUUUGGGAAGGCGUAGACCCCAGGGGAAAGCAAAGGGCUUCUCAGGGAACCCCCACAUUCUCUCACUGAAGUUUCCCACCAGGACAGUCCCCUGGAAAGAGCCCUUUGGCAUCUCUGGCCCUUGAGCCCCCUUCAAAGGAAGAAGGGACUCCGAGCCUUGACUUUUCAUGAGCCGGAAUGACCCAGGUGGUGAGGCAGGGCAGAGGCCCACCCACUGCUGUCAUCCCAUCUUGUGUCCCUCUCCCCCAGGUCUGAGGCUGGGGACCUAAUCCCCCUCCUCCCUCAUUCUCCCUACCCCUGAAAACCCCCUUUGGAGAGUUAAUUGUCUGUGUGAGGUGCUUAACCUAUUAGCCCUGAGAACACAAAGCAAUAAUCUUUGUUACUGAGAUGCGCGGCUAUUCGUGGUUUUUUUUUUUAAUGUUUCCUAAUAAAAGAAAGCUGCAUUUUAUUGGUUUUUAUUUUUAAUUUUCUACACGUUUGAGCUGAGUCAUGGAAGACUUGGCUUCCCUUUCCUCCCCUUCCUUGGAUCCCACCCACACCCCACAGGGCCCACCCUUGGGCUAAGGGCCCUGGAAUUCCGUUUUCUGAUUUGUUUGGGGAAUUUUAAAAAAAAAGAUGUUACAGGGUGUUUCGAAGCCAGCAAGUUACCACCCUCCGGUGUCUCUUCUCCCCACAUCUGUAACUUCUUUUUCCAGGUUUUAUUUUCAGUUUUAAAUUCCUAAUAAAUUAUUUGAAAACGGUUCUGGGCUCAUGAAUAUCUUGUGUCUCUUGUGUGUCCAGGUCCAGGCCCUGAUACCCUCUCUUACUGCCCUCA